AUACGAAGGGGGCUAGCGUUGUUCGGAAUUACUGGGCGUAAAGCGCGCGCAGGCGGACUGAUCAGUUGGGGGUGAAAUCCCAGGGCUUAACCCUGGAACUGCCUCCAAUACUGUCAGUCUUGAGUUCGGGAGAGGUGAGUGGAAUUCCUAGUGUAGAGGUGAAAUUCGUAGAUAUUAGGAAGAACACCAGUGGCGAAGGCGGCUCACUGGCCCGAUACUGACGCUGAGGCGCGAAAGCGUGGGGAGCGAACAGGAUUAGAAACCCCAGUAGUCC
rnacentral:rRNA from 1 species